rnacentral:rRNA from 1 species
GGUAAUUCCAGCUCCAGUAGCGUAUAUUAAAGUUGUUGCAGUUAAAAAGCUCGUAGUUGGAUUUCUGGCACGCUGCGCCUGGACCGCUAGCUUUUAGCUGGUGCGUUCCGGAGCGCGGUUGCCAUCCUUCUAGAAAACGUUUUUACCCUUCGCUGGGCUGAAAUCGCAAUCUAGAUCUUUUACUUUGAAAAAAUUAGAGUGUUUAAAGCAGGCUUAUGCUAUGAAUACAUUAGCAUGGAAUAAUAAUAUAGGACUUUGGUUCUAUUUUGUUGGUUUCUAGGACUAAAGUAAUGAUUGAUAGGGAUAGUUGGGGGUGCUAGUAUUCAGCGGCCAGAGGUGAAAUUCUUGGAUUCGCUGAAGACUAACUUAUGCGAAAGCAUUCACCAAGGAUGUCUUCUUUAAUCAAGAACGAAAGUUGGGGGAUCGAAGACGAUCAGAUACCGUCGUAGUCUCAACCAUAAACUAUGCCGACUAGGGAUGGGUGAACGUUGCAUUUCGACUUCAUCCGCACCUUAUGAGAAAUCAAAGUCUUUGGGUUCCGGGGGGAGUAUGGU